rnacentral:rRNA from 1 species
UACGUAGGGGGCAAGCGUUGUCCGGAAUUAUUGGGCGUAAAGAGCGCGUAGGCGGUCCGGUAAGUCGGUUGUGAAAGUCGGGGGCUCAACCCUCGGAUGCCGAUCGAUACUGCCGGGCUGGAGUCCGGAAGAGGCGAGUGGAAUUCCUGGUGUAGCGGUGAAAUGCGCAGAUAUCAGGAGGAACACCAAUGGCGAAGGCAGCUCGCUGGGACGGUACUGACGCUGAGGCGCGAAAGCGUGGGGAGCAAACAGG